GACGAACGCUGGCGGCGUGCUUAACACAUGCAAGUCGAACGGAAAGGCCCUGCUUUUGUGGGGUGCUCGAGUGGCGAACGGGUGAGUAACACGUGAGUAACCUGCCCUUGACUUUGGGAUAACUUCAGGAAACUGGGGCUAAUACCGGAUAGGAGCUCCUGCUGCAUGGUGGGGGUUGGAAAGUUUCGGCGGUUGGGGAUGGACUCGCGGCUUAUCAGCUUGUUGGUGGGGUAGUGGCUUACCAAGGCUUUGACGGGUAGCCGGCCUGAGAGGGUGACCGGCCACAUUGGGACUGAGAUACGGCCCAGACUCCUACGGGAGGCAGGAGUGGGGAAUAUUGCACAAUGGGCGGAAGCCUGAUGCAGCAACGCCGCGUGCGGGAUGGCGGCCUUCGGGUUGUAAACCGCUUUCGCCUGUGACGAAGCGUGAGUGACGGUAAUGGGUAAAGAAGCACCGGCUAACUACGUG
rnacentral:rRNA from 1 species